CUGUCAAUUAACAUUCCUUUUUCUCCUAUUAUUGCAAAAGUGCGGGUGUUGGAAGGACUGGAGUAUUCAUAACUCUGAGCAUUGUGUUGGAAAGAAUGAGAUACGAAGGUGUUGUAGAUAUCUUUCAGACUGUCAAAAUGUUAAGGACACAGCGGCCAGCCAUGGUGCAGACAGAGGAUCAGUAUCAAUUCUGCUAUCGAGCCGCACUGGAAUAUCUGGGCAGCUUUGAUCACUAUGCAACAUAAAAACCCAUCCUGGAUUUUUAUUGCAGGCCCUUCAAGAUCCAGAGAGCCGCUUCUGAGCCAUACAAUGUGCUUUAGAAGUACUUCUUAGCUCUUAGCUAUGGAGCAAUUAUUGGGGAUAUAUA